UCUGCAAAAAUAGAAGGUCUAGCCUGCCCAGUGACCAAGUUAAACGGCCGCGGUACCCUAACCGUGCGAAGGUAGCGCAAUCACUUGUUCUUUAAAUGAGGACUAGUAUGAACGGCAUCACGAGGGUUACACUGUCUCCCACCUCUAAUCAGUGAAACUGAUCCCCCCGUGAAGAAGCGGGGAUAAACUUAUAAGACGAGAAGACCCCAUGGAGCUUUAAACUCAGUACCAAUCACCUAUAACCACACCACAAUAACCCGGUGAUCCUGAUUACUAGUUUUAGGUUGGGGUGACCACGGAGCAUAAUUAAACCUCCAUGUUGAAAAACUUCCUCUAAUCCAAGAGUGACAACUCUAAGAAUCAAAAACCGACAUACAUUGACCCAAAUAUUUUGAUCAACGAAC
rnacentral:rRNA from 1 species